AAGGCACAUUAUUACAAUUAAAAUCAAUGAGAUGUUAAUAAUUAUCGAACUUUGAUAUUAGAUCAGCUAAUUCAAAAAUUUUUACAAGUAACAACAAAAAGAAUACACACUAUGCAGACGGUCGAGAAACGCUAUUUCUUUUGGAGAUAAAUGAACCAAUCCAAAUUCAUAUCACGCGCAUGCGCAAUUCUGUACUUUACGAUGGUAGCAAAGCCAACAUACUACAUCACGGUUCUCAAGAGAUUCUCGUCUUCAGCUUCAGUCAGUGCUUGGUAUUCGACUCGAGCGGAUAUGUUUUGUGACAAAAACACCAAAGACAUUAGAAUAUUAACCAGAUUCUAAAAAAAAAAAACAUGAAUGAAUCAUUCUAAGAUAACCGACUAGAAAUUGGAGAUAUUAUUGAAUACGAAGGGAUUCCCUUUGUUGUUUUUAUCGAUCGUCAAUAGUAAGCAAAUUGACAUGUAUAUAUAAAGAAACUCACGAUUGUCCUGCAAACUUGUGGUUAUGGAAUAAUGGUUGUCAAGUCCUAACCAAAUUACACGAAAAUCACGACGAAAAAGAAGAUGAAGAAAAUAUCGAUCCAAGGGGUUUGCAUCAUAACAACAAUGGACUGAAGAAUCUUCAACGUAAACGGGGUGGAGAAAAAAUCUAGCCAUCGUCCAAUGAAAAUGCCCAAACGUGGAUCGAAACCUCCAGCCGUGCCUAAAACGUUGGCAAAAUUAGAGGAUAUGCUCAAUAAUUAUCCAUUGAUUAAGCAUUACUAUCAAGGAUCUUUGAGUACCGCUGAUGAUGAGUCAGCUUUUAUUUUCGCUGACAAAGAUAUUCUUGAACGACUACAUACCGAAAAUAUAAUAUAUAUCGAUACCUGUAACCAAUUAAUACCUAAAACACCCAAAAUCAGCACAUUAUUAAUGAUUCUUGCACAGCGUGGUGAUAAAAGUAAGUUUUUUUUCAUAUAU